rnacentral:rRNA from 1 species
UACGUAGGAUGCGAGCGUUGUUCGGAAUUACUGGGCGUAAAGAGCACGUAGGUGGGUUCGCAUGUCGAUUGUGAAAUCCCGAGGCUUAACUUCGGAAUUGCAGUCGAAACUGCGAGUCUUGAAUGCCUGAGAGGGUGGCGGAAUUCCUGGUGUAGAUGUGAAAUUCGUAGAUAUCAGGAGGAACACCGGCGGCGAAGGCGGCUGCCUGGCAGUGCAUUGACGCUGAGGUGCGAAAGUGCGGGGAG